GAUGCCUUACAUCUUGGUGUAAUUUCAAGUAAUUUUUUUCUUAUUUUUGAUGCAGACAAUACAAGUACUCACAAGUUUCUAGAAAGUGUGUACAGCAUCCACAUAGUCCUGAGGGAAGUUGGGUGCAGUUUACACCAUUACAAUAAAAUUGGAAAGAGAAGAGAGAAGUAUGAGCUCACUCCACUGCCUGUCUCCAGGGAGAGGUUACAGUGCAAAAGGUCACCUUGGGCGAUUGAAAAGGAAAGCAUUCUUAUGCAUCCAGAUUCAUUUAUUUUUUGGCUUGAAUUUGUAGCAGAGAAAAAGCACCAAUUCCCCACUGUUUCCUGUUCGUAGCAGGUCCAGCUGCCUGCGGGUGGUCUGUACGGUUAUGAGAGCAGAGCAUCAUGUAAGAAAGAGGUUGGUCUUCCAACCUCAGAUUCAUCAGUUAGGAUUGCUAAAAUCUGGCACAAACUCUAGGGAGAGAUUAUAAUUUGAAAAACUCUUCCCUUUAAUUAAUGAUUGUGUUUCAAUCUUAGUAUAACUCUCCCUUGUUUAAAGCUACCCUUGCAUUUACGUACUGAUUUUUAACAUUGAUUUUGUUAUGACAUUGUCUUAAGAUAACAUUUCUACAAAGAAAAGGCAAUGAUAUUUAUUGAUGUUUGCUUCAAGUAAAGCACAAUGGCUUUGUUUGAAUGGAUAGUUUGGUAUCUUUAUAAAUUUUUUAAAAUUUAUUUAUUCAUGAGAGACACAGAGAGACAUAAGCAGGGGGAGAAGCAGGGUCCCUAUGGGGAACCCAAUGCAGGACUCGGUCCCAGGACCCCGGCAUCAUGACCUGAGCCAAAGGCAAACAGUCAACCACUGAGCCACCCAGGUGCCCGAUAGUUUGGUAUCUUAAAGUUUAUUAAAAAUGGAAAUGAAAGGGUCAUCAUUGCAACUUAAAACAAAAACAAAAAAUUUCAAAUCAAAGGUAUAAUUUAGAGAACAUAAAGUUGAAUUAUGUUAAAUUAGUCAUAUAAAAAUGUGAACUUUAUACCUUUCUGUUUAGGUUACAUAUUUGAAAUAUCAAUUUUGUUUCAGGAGAUAAAUUUAUACAUUCUUAUCUUUCAGCUAUGUUUUCUUUUCUUUUCCUUUUUUUUUUUUUUGAGCUAUGUUUUCAAAUGAAAUUUCUGUCUCCAGUACCAUUUUACUUAACAAUUGUUUGAGCUAUUUUGUGUUCCAGAAAUGGUGCUAUGUCCUGGGCAUUCAGAGAUAAAUAUCACCCACUUGAUACACAUCAGCCUAUGGAGGAAAAUAGUGGACUCCAACAGGAACUAAAUGAAGGAAGUAGAAUGAUCUUUUAAGACACAUUCCUUUA
rnacentral:lncRNA from 12 species